AUUGAACGCUGGCGGCAGGCUUAACACAUGCAAGUCGAGCGGAGAGAGGUAGCUUGCUACUGAUCUUAGCGGCGGACGGGUGAGUAACGCUUAGGAAUCUGCCUAUUAGUGGGGGACAACAUUUCGAAAGGAAUGCUAAUACCGCAUACGUCCUACGGGAGAAAGCAGGGGAUCUUCGGACCUUGCGCUAAUAGAUGAGCCUAAGUCGGAUUAGCUAGUUGGUGGGGUAAAGGCCUACCAAGGCGACGAUCUGUAGCGGGUCUGAGAGGAUGAUCCGCCACACUGGGACUGGGACACGGCCCAGACUCCUACGGGAGGCAGCAGUGGGGAAUAUUGGACGAUGGGCGCAAGCCUGAUCCAGCCAUGCCGCGUGUGUGAAGAAGGCCUUAUGGUUGUAAAGCACUUUAAGCGAGGAGGAGGCUACUUUAGAUAAUACCUAGAGAUAGUGGACGUUACUCGCAGAAUAAGCACCGGCUAACUCUGUGCCAGCCGCCGCAGUAA
rnacentral:rRNA from 1 species